GUCUACUGCCAUGCUACCCUGAACGAGCUUGAUCCUGUCUGAUCUUGGAAGCUAAGCAGGGUCGGCCCUGGUUAGUGCUUGGAUGAGAGACCACAUAGGAAGACCAGGUGCUGUAGGCA
rnacentral:rRNA from 1 species